GUCAUGGCAGGAAGCACGGUGGCACAGACAGACGUGGUGCUGGAGAAGGAGCUGAGGGUUCUACAUCUGGGUUCGAAGGCAGCAGGAAGAGAAUGCACAUCAGAGACCUCAAAGCCCGCCCCCAGUGACGCACUUCCUCCAACAAGGCCACACCUCCUAAUAGCGCCACUCCCUGGUGACCAAGCAUUCAAACACAUCAUUGUCUCUGCAUUAUGUGGGAUACAACUGAGUAUCUAAAUCCGGCAUAUCUGAGAAACACGUGUCGUUGCAUGGACCACGCCUAUGAAAUGGCCGGCACUUAUCCAGAAACACAGGAGCAAGUGUGAGCGUGUCUAAAACCUCCCUCUGAAAUAGAUUUCUCACUGACCUUUGUCAUUGGCUGCCCUGUCAGCAUAUAUAGGGUUGUUUUCUGCCCCAUCAAAAUUCAUCACCAUUUCCCGGUGUCAUGGCAGACGGAGAGAUCUGUGGCCCAGCAUCGUGUAGAGGCCUCUUCACUGCAGCUGACUUAUUUUACAACCUGGGUUCAGUUAGUGGGGAAGGGAGACUAAGUCUGACGUGAUGCCACGGAGCCCUAACACGAAACCACCUCUGAUCCGUCUCUAGUCAAGGCAGGUGUUUGGGAGCUGUGGGAAGUGGAAAGGAGUUCUCCUUCCCUCCAAAACUCUGCUGGUGUCAUUCCACAAUUUGCAGCCACUGGCAAUGCCUUCGACCAGACACCAAGGAUCAGAACGUCCUCUGACUUCCCUUCGCUGCGCCUUCUGGGUUUCUUCUGAUGAGUACAGAGACAGCGGGGAGGAAGAGGGAACGGCCCUCCUUUAUCUGAAGCUGAUUGCCUAAGGCUCUUUUGGGUGACAGUUUUCACUGUAACAACACUAAUGAGAUGUCAUUUGGCCUAUAAGGGGGGUGGGGAGAAAACAUGAAAAGGAUCAGAAUAAGGCCAGCACGGUGACACCUGCCUUUAAUUCCAGCACCCAGGAGAUAUUGAGGCUGGAGGAUAAUGGAUUCCAGGCUAGCCUGAGCUACAGAGUAAAACCCUUUUUCAAAACAAAGGCAAACAAACAAACAAAAAUCCCACUGUAAAUCAGCAUAAAACGAAGAGAGAAAAGGUUUUCUACAAAAGGGGUGUACAGCUUUCAGAUGCUCUCUUCCUCAGCAGCUAUCUGUCCUUGGGAGGUCCCUCAGUGCUAGCUUCCGAUUUGCCCUUGGGCGAAUUUUUGCGCCACUUAUUCCUGGACAUACCGCAGGCAUAGCUGUGGCCCGGUAGGUAUGUAUAUGCAGACACUCAGUAUUCUGUCUUCAUCUUUCCCCAAGAUCUGCCCUGCCAGCUUCUCUUGUUUGUGGUCCCCUAAGGUGCACGGCAGCCCAAGGAUGAAACCAACACCCCAAUUUGCAGUUUCCAGGGUAGCUCAGUUCCCUAAGCAGUGAAGGUCAUGUAACGACUGACUAAUUUAUUCUCUUUUAUUCUGAAAAUUAGGGAAGUUUUUUAUUAAAUUCUUCGCAACAGGACUUUUGAUCCAAACUGUCUCUUAAUCUUGUGUUUGAUAAAUAAUAAAUGUCUCACUGCUCACCAGAA